GACGAACGCUGGCGGCGUGCUUAACACAUGCAAGUCGAACGGAAAGGCCUUUUCGGAGGUACUCGAGUGGCGAACGGGUGAGUAACACGUGGGUGAUCUGCCCUGCACUCUGGGAUAAGCCUGGGAAACUGGGUCUAAUACCGGAUAGGACCGCACUUUAGUGUGUGUGGUGGAAAGUUUUUUCGGUGUAGGAUGAGCCCGCGGCCUAUCAGCUUGUUGGUGGGGUAAUGGCCUACCAAGGCGGCGACGGGUAGCCGGACUGAGAGGUUGGUCGGCCACAUUGGGACUGAGAUACGGCCCAGACUCCUACGGGAGGCAGCAGUGGGGAAUAUUGCACAAUGGGCGCAAGCCUGAUGCAGCGACGCCGCGUGGGGGAUGACGGCCUUCGGGUUGUAAACGCCGUUCGCCAGGGACGAAGCGUUUUGUGACGGUACCUGGAGAAGAAGCACCGGCUAACUACGUG
rnacentral:rRNA from 1 species